rnacentral:rRNA from 1 species
ACCCAGACUCCUACGGGAGGCAGCAGUGGGGAAUAUUGCACAAUGGGGGAAACCCUGAUGCAGCGACGCCGCGUGAGCGAUGAAGUAUUUCGGUAUGUAAAGCUCUAUCAGCAGGGAAGAAGAUGACGGUACCUGACUAAGAAGCCCCGGCUAACUACGUGCCAGCAGCCGCGGUAAUACGUAGGGGGCAAGCGUUAUCCGGAUUUACUGGGUGUAAAGGGAGCGUAGACGGCGAUGCAAGCCAGAUGUGAAAGCCCGGGGCUCAACCCCGGGACUGCAUUUGGAACUGUGUGGCUGGAGUGUCGGAGAGGCAGGCGGAAUUCCUAGUGUAGCGGUGAAAUGCGUAGAUAUUAGGAGGAACACCAGUGGCGAAGGCGGCCUGCUGGACGAUGACUGACGUUGAGGCUCGAAAGCGUGGGGAGCAAACAGGAUUAGAUACCCGUGUAA